rnacentral:rRNA from 1 species
GACGAACCGUGCAAACGUUGUUCGGAAUCACUGGGCUUAAAGGGCGCGUAGGCGGCAGACCAAGUCCGGGGUGAAAUCUUUCGGCUUAACCGGAAAAGGGCCUUGGAUACUGGUUUGCUAGAGGGAGGUAGGGGUCUGUGGAACUUCUGGUGGAGCGGUGAAAUGCGUUGAUAUCAGAAGGAACGCCGGUGGCGAAAGCGGCGGACUGGAUCUCUUCUGACGCUGAGGCGCGAAAGCCAGGGGAGCAAACGGG